rnacentral:rRNA from 1 species
GUAGUCUCGCACAGAUGCAUAUCAAUAAGCGGAGGAAAAGAAACUAACAAGGAUUCCCUCAGUAACGGCGAGUGAAGCGGGAAGAGCUCAAAUUUGAAAUCUUGAAAGGUCACCUUUCACGAAUUGUAGUUUAAAGAAGUGUUUUCUGUUACGAUCGUAAUAUAAGUUCUUUGGAAUAGGACAUCACAGAGGGUGAGAAUCCCGUCUAUGAUUGCGAUUUGUAGCUUUGUGAUACACUUUCAAAGAGUCGGGUUGUUUGGGAAUGCAGCCCAAAACGGGAGGUAAAUUUCUUCUAAGGCUAAAUAUUGGCGAGAGACCGAUAGCGAACAAGUACCGUGGGGGAAAGAUGAAAAGAACUUUGAAAAGAGAGUUAAAUAGUACGUGAAAUUGUCAAAAGGGAAGCGUUUAACACCAGUGUUGUUUUCUGAAAAUCAACCUCUGUUAGCUUUAUGCAUGUUUGUUUAGACCUAAUCAGCUAUCUUGCAUGUUCUAUUGUUUGCAGUGGUGCACUUUUCAGUUUACAGGUCAACAUCAGUUUUUUUUACCGUAAAAAAGUUAAAGAAAGGUAGCUCAUGGCUCCGGUCGUGAGUGUUAUAGUCUUUUUCCUAUGCGGUAGGAGAGACUGAGGUCUGCAGUGUAGGCUAUUUGGCUAGAUACUCAGGUGCUAUGUGAUACCAUUUCAUAAACAACUUGUUGAUUAUGUUUUGUCUAUUGCAUACUCGCUUGUACUAUCAUACCUACGCUUAGGAUGUUGAGUCGUAGAGCACGCAG